rnacentral:rRNA from 1 species
GAUGAACGCUGGCGGCGUGCCUAAUACAUGCAAGUCGAGCGAACAGACGAGGAGCUUGCUCCUCUGACGUUAGCGGCGGACGGGUGAGUAACACGUGGAUAACCUACCUAUAAGACUGGGAUAACUUCGGGAAACCGGAGCUAAUACCGGAUAAUAUAUUGAACCGCAUGGUUCAAUAGUGAAAGACGGUUUUGCUGUCACUUAUAGAUGGAUCCGCGCCGGAUUAGCUAGUUGGUAAGGUAACGGCUUACCAAGGCGACGAUGCGUAGCCGACCUGAGAGGGUGAACGGCCACACUGGAACUGAGACACGGUCCAGACUCCUACGGGAGGCAGCAGUAGAGAAUCUUCCGCAAUGGGCGAAAGCCUGACGGAGCAACGCCGCGUGAGUGAUGAAGGUCUUCGGAUCGUAAAACUCUGCUAUUAGGGAAGAACAAAUGUGUAAGUAACUAUGCACGUCUUGACGGUACCUAAUCAGAAAGCCACGGCUAACUACGUG